AGUGAACGCUGGCGGUAGGCCUAACACAUGCAAGUCGAACGGCAGCACAGUAAGAGCUUGCUCUUACGGGUGGCGAGUGGCGGACGGGUGAGGAAUACAUCGGAAUCUACUUUUUCGUGGGGGAUAACGUAGGGAAACUUACGCUAAUACCGCAUACGACCUACGGGUGAAAGCAGGGGAUCUUCGGACCUUGCGCGAUUGAAUGAGCCGAUGUCGGAUUAGCUAGUUGGCGGGGUAAAGGCCCACCAAGGCGACGAUCCGUAGCUGGUCUGAGAGGAUGAUCAGCCACACUGGAACUGAGACACGGUCCAGACUCCUACGGGGGGCAGCAGUGGGGAAUAUUGGACAAUGGGCGCAAGCCUGAUCCAGCCAUACCGCGUGGGUGAAGAAGGCUUUCGGGUUGUAAAGCCCUUUUGUUGGGAAAGAAAAGCAGCAGGUUAAUACCCCGCUGUUCUGACGGUACCCAAAGAAUAAGCACCGGCUAACUUCGUG
rnacentral:rRNA from 1 species